UUCAGUCAUACAAAGCUAGCUGAAGUGUUCAUACUUGUCAGCUGAAGAAGUCCACGAUCCUCAUCCAUCCAAGCCACCCCAUUUUUCUUUUAUAACCUACACCAUUCUUCACCCAAACCUCACCACUUCACCAUUUCUAAAUUCUGCAGUCUCAAUUUCACACAGCAAGUUAAGAAAUAAAUAUCUUCCACCACACCUAUUCAAGGUCCAGACGGGAAGUGAAAGCUAAAGAAGGAGGUAACUCUACGCCCCUAGUGGGAACGGAAUGAGGUUGAGCGGGUGAUGGAAUGGAGUGGAGUUGAGCGGAUGUACCUUUUGACAUAAAAUAAUAAUGUACCCUUGAGACGUAGAACAGUAAUGUAACCUUGAGUAUACAUCUUCAUAUGUAUAACUCAC